CACCAAAACGAUAUAGAUUGAUAAACAACACUACAGGUAAGAGGAAAAAUAUGUAUUUUUGAUUUUGGGGUGAACUGUCCCUUUAAAAGAGCCCUAUAUUACAGAUUGCCUGUGGUACCGAUUCUUACUUGAAGGUUAAUUUACUGCAUUUAAUGUGACAGAAUGAUUUGAGUAGCACCUGGCCAAUUCCUCUUAAUUUAGGGUCAAAUACGGAUGAAAAGUUUGGAACAGAAUUCUGGUUAUAAACUUGAAUUUUUAAACUCAUAUUUAUGUUUGUUUUUUUCUUGUGGAGCGACUAUAAAUUGUGUUCGAGCCAUAGAUUGUACAAAAAGAUAGAUGACAUGACAGCUCCCCCAAAGUAAAGUCAAAACAUCCCCAAUGCCCCCUGGUGGCACACUGCAGUACAGGUCACAAACCGUGCCACAAACCCCACCUGUCAGCGGAUGGGACACGUGUCAAACUAAAAAAUCAAAGUACACAUCAACGUGUUUACCAAAAAUGGUAGCUGUCAUUUUAGGUAGUUCUUAUCAUGCUGAUGUAAUUCCAAGUGUUUGUUUAUCUGGUCAGUUUGGUUAUAACUACUUAUUUGAUGCUAUUAAAAGGUGGUUUGACGACAUGGCUGACAGCUGUGUGUGACAAUCGGUGUGCUUGUGAUUAAUGGUGUUGCUCGGAAUUGGUUGGAUGGGUGUAUGGGUGGGAACACGAUACCGCAGAGAUCACUACUGCUCAGAUUCUGGCUCCAAAUGACAUCACCAGCAUAAAUGGCAAUGGCUGAAUCCAGGAUAUUUUGGCUUCAUUGUCGUACAGUGGGAAGAAGUUGAGACCCAGAUAGCACACAUACAUCUGGCCGACGCCGGCCUGAGGACAACACAUCGGUCCUGAAUUUAUAACGUCUGACAAGCGUCGGCCGCAUGGGCGGAUAUCUUUAAAUUUAAUACUCUUUUGUCCCAGCUCAUCAAACGUCUCUGUUACGUCGGCUUUGGGUCGGCCCAGUACCGUAGAAUGUCUGCAGUGUUUGUUUGGAACUGAGCUCGCAGGACACAGCAUCUCAUCACAGUUGGUUUCAGUUGACGUUAUCUGCUCAUCUGGUUAUCGUGAGCGCUCCUUUUGGGUUAAAGUGGAAGUGCCCGGAGCUGCCACCCGUGGUCCCGCGGCCCCCCGGCCUGACCUCCGGGGCCCUGGACGUGUGCUCAAGUGUCUGGGAGAGGAGCGGAGAGGAGCACGGAGGUCAGGCGGGGCGGGCCGACACUGUGUAUCCCAGAACGGGUGCUGAAGUGUCGGUGAGACCAGCAGAGAGGAGCGCGGAGGUGAAAUAGUGAAGUUUAAGGAUGCCUUCAGUAUGUUGUUAAUGUGAUUUUAUGGGCAAUUUAUCAGUCGAGGUCUCCUCCUCUGCAAAGCAAACUGACCCGGUGGCUACAGGUAAUAGCGCAGUUUUGAAGCCACUGUUUUUCCGAGAUGAAGGACUGAUUGUUGAGCUGCUGUUAACAGUUAACGGAGUUAACGGAUCCCGUUAUUUAACCGUUUCAACACUAAAUUAAGCAGAGUGACGGACACAAAGCCUUCAAUCUGGCUAAAAGACAGCUGAAAUGCUAAAAAAAAAAAAAAGUGGUGAAGUUGGGAUUUGUUUCUUGAAGUUAUGUGCUCAUCAUCUUUUCUGUGUCUUGCAGGCUGCCAGGAGAAGCGGACUGGCCGUCAGAUAUUGUUUGUGGAAAUUUGAAAAUAAAGUUUGUCAAAUUGA